rnacentral:rRNA from 1 species
GACGAACGCUGGCGGCGUGCUUAACACAUGCAGGUCGAACGGAAAGGCCCUGCUUUUGUGGGGUGCUCGAGUGGCGAACGGGUGAGUAACACGUGAGUAACCUGCCCUUGACUUUGGGAUAACUUCAGGAAACUGGGGCUAAUACCGGAUAGGAGCUCCUGCUGCAUGGUGGGGGUUGGAAAGUUUCGGCGGUUGGGGAUGGACUCGCGGCUUAUCAGCUUGUUGGUGGGGUAGUGGCUUACCAAGGCUUUGACGGGUAGCCGGCCUGAGAGGGUGACCGGCCACAUUGGGACUGAGAUACGGCCCAGACUCCUACGGGAGGCAGCAGUGGGGAAUAUUGCACAAUGGGCGGAAGCCUGAUGCAGCAACGCCGCGUGCGGGAUGACGGCCUUCGGGUUGUAAACCGCUUUCGCCUGUGACGAAGCGUGAGUGACGGUAAUGGGUAAAGAAGCACCGGCUAACUACG